UGGGGAAUAUUGCGCAAUGGGGGCAACCCUGACGCAGCAACGCCGCGUGCGGGACGACGGCCUUCGGGUUGUAAACCGCUUUUGAUUGGGAGCAAGCUUUCGGGUGAGUGUACCUUUCGAAUAAGCGCCGGCUAACUACGUGCCAGCAGCCGCGGUAAUACGUAGGGCGCAAGCGUUAUCCGGAAUUAUUGGGCGUAAAGAGCUUGUAGGCGGUUCGUCGCGUCUGGUGUGAAAGCCCAUCGCUUAACGGUGGGUUUGCGCCGGGUACGGGCGGGCUAGAGUGCAGUAGGGGAGACUGGAAUUCCCGGUGUAACGGUGGAAUGUGUAGAUAUCGGGAAGAACACCAAUGGCGAAGGCAGGUCUCUGGGCUGUUACUGACGCUGAGAAGCGAAAGCGUGGGGAGCGAACAGG
rnacentral:rRNA from 1 species